rnacentral:rRNA from 1 species
GAUCCUCGCUCAGGAUGAACGCUAGCUACAGGCUUAACACAUGCAAGUCGAGGGGCAGCAUGGUCUUAGCUUGCUAAGGCCGAUGGCGACCGGCGCACGGGUGAGUAACGCGUAUCCAACCUGCCUUACACUCUUGGACAGCCUUCUGAAAGGGAGAUUAAUACAAGAUGUUAUCAUGAGUAAGCAUUUUCGCAUGAUUAAAGGUUUACCGGUGUAAGAUGGGGAUUCGUCC